rnacentral:lncRNA from 1 species
AGAGAAGAGAUGUCCUUUCCCGCCAUUCUCCGCGGCUGGUGGGCGGGGCGGCGCGCGCUGUCCGCUGGCGGCGGUGCUGGGGCGCGGUGAACGCGGCUCCACACACCAGCGUGGAUCGGGCGGGAGGAGCGUGGCUCCAGAGCCACCACAGCUGCAGCCGGAAGACUAGCCGCCUGGGUCCGCCCCGAAACCAGGAGCACACCGAUAGCUGCUGCUACCCAGGCCCUCACUCUGGUGCUUCAGGACUCUGGGUUGAAUUUGAAUAAUUGCCAGAGAAAACUAUGGUCAAGAUUUUUGGCUUGGAACCAGAACUCAAGAGUAUGUGACAAGAUAAUACAUUCUGUACAUAUAGAGGAGACACAGUUGGUCUGUAUCUCUGACUCAAGUGGAUCAACUUAUUUUUCUUCUCAGGGACAUCCCAAUUUGAGGUUGUGUUCUUCUUCCCAUUUCAUUCGCCCUGUCUGUGACCCCACAUAUCCCUGCCCUUGCCAUCUUAGAAUAAACUAUCUAUUGAAAUGAUCUGUCUUUGUAUCUCCC